GACGAACGCUGGCGGCGCGCUUAACACAUGCAAGUCGAACGGAAAGGCCUGCUUUCCCUUGUGGAUUGCGGGUACUCGAGUGGCGAACGGGUGAGUAACACGUGAGUGAUCUGCCCCCAACUUGGGUAUAAGCCUGGGAAACUGGGUCUAAUUCCCGAUAGGACUGCAGGGUGGUGCCUGUGGUGGAAAACGAUUUUCUAGUGGUUGGGGAUGAGCUCGCGGCCUAUCAGCUUGUUGGUGGGGUAAUGGCCUACCAAGGCGGCGACGGGUAGCCGGCCUGAGAGGGUGGACGGACACAUUGGGACUGAGAUACGGCCCAGACUCCUACGGGAGGCAGCAGUGGGGAAUAUUGCACAAUGGGCGGAAGCCUGAUGCAGCGACGCCGCGUGGGGGAUGACGGCCUUCGGGUUGUAAACUCCUUUCGACCGCGAGGAAGCCACCUGGUUGGAAGGGUGGUGACGGUAGUGGUAGAAGAAGCACCGGCUAACUACGUG
rnacentral:rRNA from 1 species